UGAGUUUCUUGGUUUGUGUGACUUGGACUGAGUGUUAAGAUCUUUUGGUUAUGUGGUGUAUCCCUCGUUUUUUGUCCAGGAUCAUAUCCUUUUGUGGCGUCCUUCCUUGUCCAACCAAUUUGUUAGGUUCUUAUAUGAAUAUAUGGGAGAAAUAGAGAAUAAUUGAAUGGAAUAAUAAAAGAAUGAAUCGAUUGUAAAAUAAUAAUGAAAGUAACAACUGAUGGUGAAUACCAAUCAGCCCCUAAAGCACAUAGUGCUUCCCUCCCAAGAUGGUGAAUCCUAAUUGAUUCCUUGAUACCUAAGAUCCUACCUUUCGUGUCCUCCUUUUAUAGGGCCACAAGCUUAUUCCUAUUUUAUCGAAACAAACCCCCCUGAAUUAAAAUAACAAACUUCUUAACUAAGUCUAAUUCACAUUAAUCCUCUAACAAACUCCUAAUGAUUAUUUUCUUAUAUCCUUUAUCUUCUCUUGUAACCUCCAAACCUUUGUUUGGCCCACUGUCAGGCCCACCCACUUGAUCCAUCUUUCUAUCAAUUCCCCGCCUCCAUAGAAACGCUUGUCCUCAAUGGCAAAAAUCUGGAAAUUGACCCACUGGCAACACUGCAUUACUCCUCCCAUGUCACAUCCGUUCCAUUGUCUAAUGUGCCUCCAUUUUAUGAGACCUUGUGCUGCACCAGUCACUCCUCCUUCAAGUCACCCUAAGACGCCCAUGACCUUCUAGGGACACUAUCACUGUCAAUCUGUGAGUUCCAAAUCUUUGGGACGUUCGCCUAGAACCUGAUAGUCUCCCACUGUUCCUUCAAUGUGUACAUGAAAAACUGGAUUUGGAUCCGUGGACUGAUCAGCAGUGUAGCCUAUAUGCCACUUCUCCAAUCCUUAGCUAUAAUUGAAAGCCUAUAAAAACGUGGCCGCUAAUUUUAUUGAUCCGUUUAACGCAUUGACUGCUGUCUGUGACGCGUCUUAAGUUUAAAAAAAACCCAUUCCACCCACCUGAAAAAACGCACAUCUCCUUUCCUUCUUGUUAGCAUUCACGCUCCCAUCCUUUCUUGCGCUCUUGUAGAUCUAGUGAUUAAGUUGUCGUUAGAGCCUCAUGCUUCUAUUUAGCUCUAAUGCCACCGCAACCACCUUAGUCCAUUUUAUCAAACGAGCAGAAAUACUAGGAGGAUGCCUUCCCAUAAACACUUCAAACGGAGUUCUCCCAAUCGACACAUGAUAGUGGUAUUGUACCAAACUCAGCCCACGAAGCCGAAGUUGACCAAGUUUUGGGUGUUGAUCUAGAAGCAAACAACAUCUUCAAAUCGCUUUCGCAGACAUUCUAUUUAUCACUUCCGUUUGCCCAUCCGUUUCUGGAUGAUAGCAAAAACUCAUCUGCACUUUAGUGCGCCUUGCAGUUUAAUAAUUCCAACCAAAAAUGGCUCACGAAUAAGGGUCCUGUCACGAUAAGGGACUUUUGGAAUUCCAUGAAGCCACACUAUUUCUUUUAGCAACAUUCAGCAAUGGACUUAGACUGUGUAACGAUGCUUGAGCAAUAUGAAGUGACUGUAGCUUAGACAACGGCUAUCCACAACCACCAGUAACAGCCUCAUAACCUUAGACUUAGGCAAACCCGUAAUGAAAUCUAGCGAAGAUCCUCCAAAUACCAUUAGGAAUGGGGAGAGUUGUAGCAAACCUCCGGGAGUAGUGGCCACAUACUUUGUCUUUGACAGAUAUCACAAGCACGCAGCAAUUCUCUCACGACUUCUGCAUUCCAGCCAAUAUAAAUUAUCCGCCAGCUUCCGAUAAGUUCUCACGAAACGCUGAAUGUCCACAGUAGGAUGCAAUGAAAUUCCUCCAACAGUGAGGGAUAGAUGGGGACUUAGGAGAAAGAACCAGCCUGCCAUGAAUAACAAACACACACUUGCCUUAACAGAAUAGCCUGGCUUAGAAUCAGGAAGCGACAACACGGUUCUUGUAUCAUCGUCUGAUUCUUCUGGAUCAUCUUUCACUCCAUCUAAUUUUUUUUGCUAUCGCGUCCAUUGUCGGUAACGAAACAAGGUACCCAAUCAGCAUCGUCAUCACGUCUGGAUAGCAAUCAGCAACUUUGUUAUCCAUCCCUGGUUUGUACUUCACCUCAAACUGAUAGCCAAGCAACUUAGCCAACCAACACUCUGGUCUGGGAAGUUAUUCUCUGCUUGCAGGAAGUGUUUAGACUCUUGUGAUCCGUGUAUCUCUGAAUGCUUUCCACAAGUAGUCGUCGCCAAUGCUGGAUGCACAAUACCAAGGCCAUACGCUCUUUUCAUACACCGAACUUUGCUAAAUUGCCUUGAGAUAAUGCCUUUGCUAAAAAAACGCUACAGUUUCCUUUGCUGCAUUAACACUGCUCCGAUACUCUACCAGCUGCGUCACAUUCCACUUCCAGGGUAAAGAGAAAAUUAGGUAAUACCAAAUCAGCGGGGUGAAAGUCAUGAUAAUCUUCAUCAAUUGGUGAAAAGCUGCAGUUGCCCUGCUGUUCCCGCACGCAAAGUAUCCUUCUUGGUCAGCUCAUCAAAGCUUGCCCACUGCCAUAAUCCUUAAUAAAUUUUCUAUGUACCCAGUAAUGUCCAAAAUCCACGAACUCCUUUUACAUUCUUUGGUUUUCUCGGCCAAGUCCAAAAUGCCCUUAACUGUUCGCAGGGAUCUACUGCUAAGCCGGCCUUUAGCUGAUGAUAAUGUGCCGCCAAGUAUCCAAGGUAUUGCACAGCCCAAACUCUUACACUCUAGGCUUGAUUUGGAUAAAACAGUUUCAAGUAAAACAGAAAGAACCAUGACAUAAGUGCUUUCUGAUGCUCUUGGAAUUCUUACUUAUGAAGUCGUCAAAAAAAACUAAGACAAAUUUCCUCUGAAAAAGAGGGCUAAAAGUAUGCAAUGGUUUCUUGGAACGUGGUGGGAUUCAUUAACUCCAAAUGGAUCACAGAGAUACUCAUAGUGCCAGUUGUGAGUUCUAAAAAGCUGUUUUUGGGAAGUAUAUAUGUCAUGCCACGCCUGAUUUGAUGAUAACCGGACCUAAGAGUCAAUCUUCGAAAACAAGUGAGCUCGUACGUAUAAUUCAAUGCAAUAAUUCGUCUACGAUGGGAAUAGGGUAACUUGUAUUGGAACUGUAGCGUUUGUUAAAGCGGCUCUGUAAUGCCACAAGCACAUUCUCCAACUUUACUUUCUUGUUUUACCAAAAUACACCGGAGCUAGAGAAAGCGCUCAUACUGGGUCUGAUCACCUCCUGCCUGCAACAGUUCAGUCACUUGUUUCUCAAUCUCUCCUUCUGAUGGUGAGGAUACGCGGUAGGGCCUAACAUUGAUUGUUUCCAGAUUUGGAAAUAAUUUGAUAUGAGUGCACUUGAGAUCUCUCCGGAGGCAGCUGAAUUUGAUUUUUAAAAACUGCAGGAAAUUGUUCCAGAAUCGCAAUUACUUCUGUUGGCACAGAGAUCUCGCCAGCUUCCAAUUGGUGAUGCUGAGAUCCCCAUCAUUCAGUUCCCAUCCUAUUCAGCUUGUCAUCCAAAAAGGAGUUCAGAUAACUAUGCUCCUCUUGCCUGCUACCUUGACCCAACACCUUAACCAUCUGCCCCUCAUACAUGAACUGCAUAGACAACACCAACACCUUCCAAUCCAUUAUUACCUUUCCUAGUGUGCUCAGCCACGAGACUCCCAAUACUAUAUCCAAACCUCCCAGAUCCAGUACCAACACAUCAAUGACUACUUUCACAGAACCCAUCUUUAUUACAAUUCCUUUGGACACCCCUUGAGAAUUCACCCUAUGUCCAUCUCCAAGUUUGAUGCUCUUGGCAGGGUCAGGAGUGAUUUCUAACCCCAACGCAUUUGUUACUUGAGGGGAGAUGAAAUUGUGGCUCGCACCACUAAGCUAGUUGUGAUUGUGUAGGUGUAAAAGUUAAAAAGGGAGUAUUUUCAUGGUACGAUUUCCACUCAUACUUCCCAACACACCCAUGGAUUGACAUUCUACCUCCUCCCCCUCUUCCUCGUCAGUUUGCACUUCUUCCAUAGAUACGACUUCACCUUCAUCGUUAAGAGUUUCUCCUUCACCCAAAAUCAAUACUCGUAAGGAUCUCUCAGGACACUUAUGGAGAGUAGGGUGAUACUUUCCACCGCACUUGAAACACAGCCCCUUCGCCCCUCUCUCAUCCAUCUCGUCGUUGCGAAUGCUGCGAAUCCCUUUCCCUUUUUCAGGUCGCGAAUCAUUCUCACCCUUUUUCCCAGAUGAAGCUAACGACGUCGUAGACAGCGUGUUAGAUCCACUUGAUUCUGUUUUCUGAGUCGGAUUGGCCCAACUGGAACGACUUGUCUCUUUCAGAUUUGACCCGUUCCUGUUCCGAAAAGUUGGCCCGGCCCAAUCACUACGGCCCCAUCGAUCCUGCCCUCCUUUUUUGCUACCGUAUCUGCCCGUGUCAUCAUCAUUUUCUCUCAACUCUUCCUCUACGUCUUUUGCAAUACGCAUCAUCUGCAUCCGAUUCAGAGGAUUGAAAGUCCGAACCCUACGACGAAUUUGUGGCUUCAAACCACUCAUAAAAUAACCGCAGAUAUUGUUCCUCUGGAAGUCUCUCCACUUGUGACGACAAAAGCUUCAAAAAGCUCCAAAAAUCUUCUACACUACCCCAUGUUUAACGUGGAAUAAUUCUCAAAAGGAUUUCCAGAGCGUCUUCGCUCGCAUAGCCGUGUAAUCAGGGGUGGACCCUUUUGUCGAACUUGUCCAGCCAGAGACAGACUGCCUAUGUUUCCAGUCGAGAAAGGUUAAACCAGAUUGUAUUGUGAGAACUUCCAUACGCCGCUCAACUGAACUCAUGUCCGCCAUCUCAUCAGUCGAUUCUGGCACAUGCCAAAUAGAUGCUCAGCUCGUGUGAUCCAACCUGCAACAGGAUCGUCUCCUCAAAUAUGGCAAUUUCGAACCUUUUGCUCCCGUGACAAACGUGAUUCCUCAUAGUGAAGACUCACCAUGGACCCCCACUCUCGAUUUCGUAAUGUUUCUGAGCGAUGAUCUGUUUGCAUAAAAUCAGAGAGAGACGGUGAGCCUUUGUUGUGCACUCGAUUGAGCAGGGUACGUACUGGAGUUGUGUGCUUUGACGUCCACAUAGUUGUUUCGCAGCGUCAACGCAUCUGUGUUUCCACAACGCGUCCAUACGAUCCCCCAUCUUGGGCUUUCGUGCAUCUACAAUUUCGGUGUGGGGUGAUUUGUUUUGAUCCGGUAGAGUCGGAACCCAAUUGUUAGGUUCUUAUGAUGAUAUAUGGGAAAAAUGAGAGAAUAUAUUGAAUGAAUAAUAAAGAAUGAAUCGAUUGUAAAAUAAUAAUGAAAUUAACCAACUGAUCGGUGAAUACCAAUCAGCCCCUAAGCACACAGUGCUUCCCUCACCAAAGAUGGUGAAUCCUAAAUUGAUUUCCUUGAUACUAAAUCCACCUUUUUGUCCUCUUAUGCCACAAGCUUAUUCCUAUUUUAUCGAAACAAACCCCCCUAAUUAAAAUAAGCAAACUUCCCUGUAAUAACUAAGUACCAUACGAUAACUCUAACAACUCCUAUGAUUAUUUCUAUUCUUUUUAUUCUUUUACUUCUCUCUGUAAACAGCAUCCAAACCUUUGGGUUUGGGCCCACGUGUCANACCCAUGGGACCCCCACUCUCCUGAUUCGUAUUCUUCUGACCGAUCUGUUUGCAUAAAUCAGAGAGAACAGCGCUUUGUUGUUGCAUCUGUUGAGCUAACGUCUGCAGUGUUGCUUUGACGUCCACCAUCUGUGUUUCGACGUCAACCAUCUGUGUUUCCAACGCGUCCAUACGAUCCCCCAUCUUGGGCUUUCGUGGCAUCUACAAUUUCGGUGUGGUGGUGAUUUUUUUGAUCCGGUAGGUCGGACCAAUUGUUAGGUUCUUAUAUGAAUAUAUGGAAGAAAUAGAGAAUAAUUGAAUGGAAUAAUAAAAGAAUGAAUCGAUUGUAAAAUAAUAAUGAAAUUAACAACUGAUGGUGAAUACCAAUCAGCCCCUAAGCACACAGUGCUUCCCUCACCAAGAUGGUGAAUCCUAAUUGAUUUCCUUGAUACUUAAAUCCUACCUUUCUGUCCUCUUUUAUAGCCACAAGCUUAUUCCUAUUUUAUC
rnacentral:lncRNA from 1 species